AGUCAAUGAACUUGAACAAGUGUGUAUUUUGAAAAUACAAAAUAGAAAAUUUUAUUCUAUUGACUU
rnacentral:tRNA from 1 species